rnacentral:rRNA from 1 species
UACGUAGGCGGCAAGCGUUGUCCGGAAUCAUUGGGCGUAAAGGGGGCGCAGGCGGGGACGCAGGUCCUUCCUGAAAGUUCGGGGCUCAGCCCCGUGAUGGGAAGGAAACCGUGUCUCUUGAGCGCGGGAGAGGGAAGCGGAAUUCCUGGUGUAGCGGUGAAAUGCGUAGAUAUCAGGAAGAACACCAGUGGCGAAGGCGGCUUCCUGGACCGCGGCUGACGCUGAGGCCCGAAAGCCAGGGGAGCGAACG